ACCUGGGAGACCCAUGGAACACCUGAACCUUAAACAAAGGAAAGACAAGGGGACAUAAAGGGGGCCAGUCUUUCAGAGUCUCUACUGUGUCUGCAGAAGGUCUGCCAUUUUCACUACUUGAAAUAUGCCAGUGAAAUAUAUUUGGAAUGAGAUAUUUUACUCUCUCACCCUGUGAAGCAGGAAGCAGGUCCUCUGGAGCACUGAUUUCCCAGCAACUUUGAACACCUCCUAAUAUUUUACAGAACAUGUUUUCCUCUUCAAAGAACCCAUAAGUCUCACCUAUGGAUGACACUGAGCUAGACAGAACUAAAAUCUCAAGCCAACAGAAGCUUAAAUUUAGGGCUUGGAGACACAAAGACCAAAAUCAAGAUCAAGAGGUACUGACCAUGAAAUGACAAUACAGGAUGAAAAGAAUAAACUUAGGAAUGAAAACACUGCAUGCAACAAGACUCACCAAUACCCCCCAAAGAUCUGAAAAACCUUUCUCACUAGCCAGCUGGAGACAGAUGUGAGCAGUCUUCCUGUCUCCCUCUCAGUCAACCUUCA